rnacentral:misc_RNA from 1 species
GCACAUUGUGAUGAGUGGUGCAAGAAUAACAAGGGUUGUGUUGAUCUUCUUUGAUACGGUGAUGAUGGCAUUUUUAACAUCUGGAGCAUCAGCUGCGGCAGCCAUAGUGUAUUUGGCACACAAGGGAAAUGCUCGUGCUAAUUGGAUUGCUAUUUGCCAGCACUACAACUCUUUCUGCGAUCGUGCAUCUGGCUCUUUGGUUGGAUCCUUCAUUGGAGUU